AUUGAACGCUGGCGGCAUGCUUUACACAUGCAAGUCGAACGGUAACAGGGUGCUUGCACCGCUGACGAGUGGCGAACGGGUGAGUAAUGCAUCGGAACGUGCCGAGUAGUGGGGGAUAACGCAGCGAAAGUUGUGCUAAUACCGCAUACGUACUGAGGUAGAAAGUGGGGGACCUUCGGGCCUCACGCUAUUCGAGCGGCCGACGUCUGAUUAGCUAGUAGGUGAGGUAAAGGGUCACCUAGGCGACGAUCAGUAGCGGGUCUGAGAGGAUGAUCCGCCACACUGGGACUGAGACACGGCCCAGACUCCUACGGGAGGCAGCAGUGGGGAAUUUUGGACAAUGGGCGAAAGCCUGAUCCAGCCAUGCCGCGUGUCUGAAGAAGGCCUUCGGGUUGUAAAGGACUUUUGUCAGGGAGGAAAUCCCUAGUGCUAAUAACACUGGGGGAUGACAGUACCUGAAGAAUAAGCACCGGCUAACUACGUGCCAGCCGCCGCGGUAA
rnacentral:rRNA from 1 species